GUGCUUGUUUUGGCAGCACAUAUACUAACAUUGGAACAAUACAUAGAAGAUUAGCAUGGACCCUGCACAAAGAUGACAUGCAAAUUGGUGAAGUGUUCCAUAUUUCA